GCCUGGGGGGCUCAGUCGGUUGAGCGUCUGACUUCAGCUCAGGUCAUGAUCUCGUGGUUUGUGGGUUCAAGCCCCAUGUCGGGCU
rnacentral:tRNA from 1 species